AGGGAGCUCUAUAGCGCCCCCUGUAAUGCAAAAAAAAACAUUGAUGCACAGAUCGGGCAAAAAUGUACGCACAUGUAAGAGAGUUGGUACGCAUAUAGAUCUCAUCGACCCGAACAACUUUCGCCCUCUAACAUUUAAGCUCCGCCCAACAGGAAGUCUGCUAUUUUGGAUUGUUUAAAAAAUGCAUUCGUUGAACUUUUAAAUACUCCUCCUAGUGGAUUCAUGGGAUUGACACCAAACGUGGUGAUCAUGAUGUCGAGACAUUGUACUUGCUAAAUUGCGAAGGGAUUUUUGAUAUCUCGAACGGUUCUGCCAUGGCGAGGCGAUGAAUUCAUGGCGAAUUUAGAGAAACAGGAAGUGUCUAAUUUCUAAGGCAAAAAAUAUCUUAUUGUGAUGCCAUGCUGGGUGUUUGUUCGUCUGAAGAUUCCGAUUGCAUCGAUGUGCCUAUUGUGACUCCCGGUUAUAGCGCCACCACCAGGCGCCAGGAAGUGUGUCAGUCACAAAGCUGGAUUUUUUUUUGACAGUUCCAUGCUAUGUUCUUUUAAAUACUCCUUCUAGAAAAAUCAUGCAAUUGACACCAAAAGUGGUGAACAUGAAGUCGAGAGAUUGUAGAUGAUAAAUUGCGAAGGGAUUUUUGAUAUCUCAAACGCUGUUCCCAUGGCAACGCUUCAAACUUUACUUUCAUUUUAAAGGCAUUUUUAAGCCUUUCAGUUGACGCCGAUGUUCCUUUAAAUACUCCUUCUAGGAUAUUCAUGCGAUUAACACCAGAAGUGGUCAACAUGAUGGCGAGACAUUGUACACUCUAAAAACUCCUGGGUUAUUUCUUCAACCCAUAUUCUGGGUUAUUUGUGUUGGGUUAAAAUUAUGGGUUAUUUUUUCAGAGAGUAACCAUUUUCUGGGUUAUAGGGCUAAUAUUUUGACCCAAUUCCUGGGUUGUUUGGGUUUCUGGGUUAUUUUUCAAAGGUUAACCCAUGUUCUGGGUUAACGCCCCGCCCCCCGCUGUUCUGGAAUUUUCUCACAACAGUCGAUUGAAAUAUCUGUCACCGGAGUUCGCGGCGCGAUCGAUCCGUUUUGGCCGUUUCUGCAGUCUGAACACUUUACCUCAGAGCGUCCGUAAACUGAAUGAAUUUAGAAUAUCACCUGAAAAUCCAACAUCAACCAAUUUUCAUGAAAGUAGCUCAUUUCUGUAAAUGAAUGUAAAAUUUAAUGUACAUUACAGCACAUGGUGAAGUCUGUAUAUACAUUAACGAUGAUUUGAGACAAAUAAGUGUAAAUUUAAAACUAUGUACAUGGCGCUCGGCGCCGCAGACAGACGCAAAAUGACGCCGCCGGUACACACACAUACUGUACCCUGUGUCUCUUCGUUCCCUAGCUCCCGAGGUCGUGAAUCAGUUUAUCAUGUACACAGGUUCGGGCACUGGUAAGGACUUUAGCUCACUUGACAUUGGGACACUGUUCACUUAUUAUCUUGUGAUGUGGCUGCUUAAGCGUGUUGUGAUCACUCACCUCUGUUACUCAUCAACAACCGGCAAAACCAACCGUUGCGUUGCUUUGAGUUAUGUUUACCAGCUGCACCAUGCUUAUAAUAUUAUACAGUGCUCUACUGGCUAAAGUAGUGAGAUUUAAAGAAGCAGGUCAAGUCUUCAAAUUGUUGCUAACCUCUAUAUGUUUUCUCCAGGUCUUUUUAAAUGGACAGCUUUGUCACUGAUAAGUUAACUGAGUGGCGGCUGUUUGAGCUGACAGAGACAUUUUUGAGGCCAUCUACAGGGUUGAGAAGAAGACUAUCUGGCAUUCCACUGAAGAGUCGUGGACAGCGUUCAUACACCAAAUGUCUGUUGGAACAAAUAUGGUGGAAUACAGUGGCGGCUCGUAACUGCUCAUCCGAAGAUGCGCUAAUUCAAAAUAAGUGUUCAGAUUGUCACGUGUGUGGUUCCCUUUUCCAAAAUAUGUGUCCUGCGUGUCGAGAGAUCCUGUGUGCAUCACGUGUUUUGUCAAAAUAAGUGCCUGCUGCACAUGCAUCAAAACCGUUUAUGAUACAAUAGACGCUCAUGUUCCUAAAAUACACGGCAGACACUUCCUUAACAGUAAACUCUUAUUAUGCAUGAGAUUAUGCGACUAUCUGGCAAACGCGAGCAUCUCUUUUAUCAUAAACCCUUUAGACGCGUCUGCAGCAGGCACUUAUUUUGACAUGACACGUGAUGCACACACGAUCUCUCAAAGCGCAGAACACAUAUUUUGAAAUUACAAACCACACACAUGACAAGCUACAUACAUGUUGUGACGAACUUUGCAUCGAGCGUCCUCGAAUAAAGAAGUCACCGGCUGUCACUGGUGGAAUACCUUCAGCAAUCGCAGUCGUUCCCCUCUGGGAGAUCUCAAGCUGCACACAACCAAUGUUUGAAGACUUAAAGCCUCAAGUUCAAUCCAAUUAUUGAAUGUUGUUAAAUGUUUGAGAGAGAAUGUUUGAGAGUUGUUUAUUUUUCUAUUUUUCCUUUCUAAUGUUAUUACAGUGUUACCUAAAAUAAAUAGGUCCAA